UUGGCGCGGGGCCGAGCGCUAGUUGAAGCACGACAAAGCGCUAGCCCUCUCGGAAAAGGGAUACCCGCAUCCGACCUUCGAAGGAAUAGCGGGGAGGUGUGGCCUAAUUAUGUUCUCUCGAAUCAGCUCCACCUAGUGAUAAGAGUGAUGAGAGCCACAAGCAGCCAAAAGCUGAGAAAUUUUUUUCGUCUGCUUUGAAGUUCAUAAGCUGUUCUCUGAUUGGUUCACUUCGCCAUUGAAUGUCCUCGUGUGAUUGGUUCUUUUCUAAGAGGUACCCAACACAUCCGCCUGGCGCACUGAACGAAGAGGACAGAAGUUCCUUCGAAGGUCGGAUGCUAGUCUCCCUUUUCCGAGGGGGGAUAGGGACUUUUGGGCUAGUUGCCCAAAGGACUCCAGGUUUUCCGACACUUGGACUUCUGGCACUCGACACUUGGACGACCGGUUCGCGACAGGAGGACAUCUGUCUAGCGACGUUAGGACUACUGGUUCCCGACGUUUGGGCGCGACAAUCAAUGUUGCUGAACCCAGCAAGUCCUUUACGAGAUUACAAGUGAACUCCCGGGCCAGCGACGUUUGGACUCUUUUUCUUUCGUGUUGUUUACGAAUUAGUCGAGAAUUUUGUGAAAUCGCAAGAAUGUCUGGCCAGCGAAGGCCUGGAGUUCGUGGACGGCAAGCAGUUGUUUAAGGGGCUUCCUUGCCUGUGUUAUUUUUUAAGCCUUGUGUUAUUUUUUAAGUUAUUAUUAUUUUUUUUCCUUAUGUCCUGCCGAAGUGUAACCAAGCACUGUUUAAAUUUACGUUUGAUCGUGAUUGCCAUAUGUGAAUCUACCCAGAAAAAUUGUACAACCGUGAACGAAGAAUUUUGUAUUUAUGUUGUUUAAUACAUUAACAUUUGAACUACAA